rnacentral:lncRNA from 1 species
AAACGGCAGUAGCUACAUGCAAUGUCAUGGAUGAAUCUCAAGAUAUUUAUCCUGAGUGAAAGAAACCAGACCAAAAAAGAAAGGUGUAUGUAUAUUGUAUGACUCCCAUUUAUAUGAAAUUUUAGAAACUACAAACUAAUUCAUAGUGUUACUGGCAGGUGCCCUGGAUUCUUGCAAUCCCCCAGUAUAGAAAUCAAGAGAGAUCACCAAACAUAGCAGCAAAGGAAACUUUAUUCAGCUUGUGCACAAGAAGCCAGCACCAUGAAAGCAAAAGGAAUGGGCUGCCUCCUGAGGGUAGCGUGUGGAUUAGUUUUAAUGAGUCUCUCUCUAGGGAAGGGUUGGGUCAGGGCAUGUAUGGGAGGGUUUUUUCUAGCACUUGCACAGUGGCUCUACAUGCUUCUUCAUACAUCCUAUGUAGCAUUAGCAUUUUAAAUCUUCAUGCCCUGGGUGUGAUUGUUAGCACUGAAAUGAGGAAGGGGUAACUGUAGGUUGGAGAUGAUGUCUAACUGCACAUGCAGAGCCCUGGGGAAGUCCCUAGCUCCCUGAGGGAGGAAGUUGUUUUUAACAGUUUCUUAGGCGUUUUGUUACUAAUUGGCUGAGAGGUAAGCUAGCACUUAAGCUUAAGGGGCUUUUGUUCUUUUCCUCCAGACCACAUUAAAACGGAACCAACCCGCCUAUCUGUCUCAACAGUGACAGAAAGCAGAACAGUGGUUUCCAAGAGAUGAGGGCAGGGGGACAGGUGGGUGAGAGGAAUUAAAAAUGAGCAUGAGGAAAUUUGGAGAGGAUGUUAUAGUUUGGAUAUUUGCUACCCUCAAAUCUCAUGUUGAAAUGUAAUCCCAUUGUUGGAGGUGGGGACUGGUAGGAGGUGUUUGGAUCACAGGCAUGGAUCCCUCAUGCAUGGCUUAGCACCAUCACCUUGGUGAUGAGUGUGUUCUCGCUCUGGUAGUUCAUGAGAGACCUAGUUGUUUAAAACAGCUUGGCACGUCUCCCCAUCUCUGUUGCUCCUGCUCUUGCCCUGUGAUAAGCCGGCUCCCUCUUCAUCUUCUUUCAUGAGGCCUCAUCAGAAGUGGAGCAGAUGCUGGUGUCAUGCUUGCACAGCCUGCAGAAUGACCUACAACCAGAUUUAAAUCACAGCAGGCCUCAGGAGGUCAGUUACCAAGUGUGACCUAUGAGAAGGAACUAAACACACCAAAAAAAAAGAUAAUUAUUUUUCAGAAACAUUUUCUGACUGGGCGUGGCAGCUUAUGCAUGUAAUUCCAGCUACUCAGGAGGCUAAGAUGGGAGUAUCACUUGAGCCCAGGAUGUCAAGGCUGCAGGGAGCCAUGAUCACACCACUGCACUCCAGCCGGGGCAACAGAGCGAGACCUUGUAUCAAAAAAGAAAAAAAGAAAUAUUUUUCUAUAACUCAAGGCCUUAAGGUUGCUUAUCCUCCUGUUUAUUGUGUUUGGAGGGACUGUAAUCUAAUUUUAUAUGUUUUGUUGUUUUUUUAUUGUGUAUUUUGAGUGACUUUGCCAUUUUUUAUUGUGAACCUAGCUUCAGUGUAAAAUUCAUG